rnacentral:rRNA from 1 species
AGAGUUUGAUCCUGGCUCAGGAUGAACGCUAGCGGCAGGCUUAAUACAUGCAAGUCGUGGGGCAGCACAGGUAGCAAUACUGGGUGGCGACCGGCAAACGGGUGCGGAACACGUACGCAACCUUCCUUUAACUGGAGAAUAGCCCGGGGAAACCCGGAUUAAUACUCCGUAACAUUAUGAAGUGGCAUCACUUUAUAAUUAUAGCUCCGGCGGUUAAAGAUGGGCGUGCGACUGAUUAGGUAGUUGGCGGGGUAACGGCCCACCAAGCCUUCGAUCAGUAACUGGUGUGAGAGCACGACCAGUCACACGGGCACUGAGACACGGGCCCGACUCCUACGGGAGGCAGCAGUAAGGAAUAUUGGUCAAUGGACGAAAGUCUGAACCAGCCAUGCCGCGUGGAGGAUUAGGGCCCUCUGGGUUGUAAACUCCUUUUAUUUGGGAAGAAAUCCAUAUAUUUUUAUGUGGUUGACGGUACCAGAAGAAUAAGCACCGGCUAACUCCGUGCCAGCAGCCGCGGUAAUACGGAGGGUGCAAGCGUUAUCCGGAUUCACUGGGUUUAAAGGGUGCGUAGGUGGGUAAGUAAGUCCGUGGUGAAAUCUCUGAGCUUAACUCAGAAACUGCCGUGGAUACUAUUUGUCUUGAAUAUUGUGGAGGUGAGCGGAAUAUGUCAUGUAGCGGUGAAAUGCUUAGAUAUGACAUAGAACACCAAUUGCGAAGGCAGCUCACUACACAGUAAUUGACGCUGAGGCACGAAAGCGUGGGGAUCAAACAGGAUUAGAUACCCUAGUAGUCC